CUUCGAUGAUGUAGAUAUUAUUUAGAGUCGGGAUUAACGUGAGCGGGGGUGAAGCUUUCAAAAUCGUAGUCAUGCAAAAAUCCGUACCGGAUAAGCAAAUUAAAGCGGCAAGAUGUAUUUGUUUUUUGGGGGUCAUUUGAUUGUUAUAGUGAGUUUUUGUGCGUGUGGAUGCGAGUGUAUACAUUGUGUGUGUGUGUGUUGAGGCCUUUCUUGUUAACGCCCAUCUCCCUUAAUUACAUACAGAUUGUUGUAUCUGCACUACCUUUUCACAGUCUAAUAAUUGCCGAGGCCGUUUAUUUUAUGGGGUGAUAGAAUUUAAUAAGUUCCUAUGAUGGCUAGGUUUGGUGUCCCAGUAAGCACGUCUUUUGUAAGACAAACCACAACUUGCCAAACGCUCUAUAGACCACGCGCGCGCGCGUGUGUGUGUGUGUGUGUGUGUGUGUGUGUGUUUGCGCAUGCGUGUGUUUGUACGUGUGAGAAAGAGACUCUGACACGAUUCAUUGGCUGUACAGUAUACAAAAACAAAAAUCUCAAUUGCAACUCUGACGCGUUAAAUUUACUAUGGUCCUAAAAGCGAGAGAGAGAUCCUGAUAUGAUUCAUUUUGAUAUACAAGGCUCCACAAUCCAAAAACAAUCUCGAUGCAACUCUGUCGCAUUAAAUUGAAAAAUAGGGCUACGUAUCUUCGUAACACUUCAAAUUUAUAUGCAUGACGUCUGUUGAAUUAUGUCCAGGGGGGGGGGCAUCACGCUGAGUUAUCUAAGCCGUUUCCUCCUUUAUUUUUCUGCUUCAUCAUGUUUUUGUAGGGUUUUUUUUCCUCCUCUAAAUUUUCUGGCCUCGAUUUCAGAUUAGACCGUCGUGGUUCCAUGCGGCGUUUUUUCGGUGGGCUGAAACACUAAACCGAUCCAUUAGUAAAUGAGUGCGAGGUACCACAUUGGUCCGUGUGCUGCAGCAGUUGUCGGUUCGAGCCUCAAGGAUCACAUUUCUUUGCCUACGCCCUGCACACUCUUGAAACCGGAUUCCCCUUUUUAAAAUGCUUAUAUAUUUUAAAAAAUGAGAUCGAAGUAGUUGCAUUCGUGUUGCGUGGUUACACGUGUACUCAUAUACUUAAUUAAAUCAAUAUUUUUUUAGAUCAAAGUGUAAAUAAUUAAUAUCAAUUGAAUUGUAAUAAGUGUUAUUUUUUACAUUUACAAAGGUAGUCUGGGGUCAAACUUGCCUGAGUGUUAUAUUUUUUCAAUUGAUUAAUUCUUGAUUACUUUUUACGAUUUUUGUAAAUGCGACUUGUUCGCAAAGGGAACAAUUUUAGACUUUGAUUUACAUAUUCAAACUUAACAUUGGAGAAAGUCAAUUUUCAAUACGGUGUCAUGCAAACACAGACUUCAAUAUGUACAUGGAUGUCAGUCAUAUAUAGCGUUGCAUUGCUCAAGAGCACUUGACCAUGCUCCAAAGCAACCAGCAGCUUUCUUUAUGAGUUGAUGGUUCUCUUCCCGUAAAUCCAACCUCUCUGAAGGUAAUGAAUUUUGGAAAGAAAUAUGAUAACAAUUGAGCCAAUAUUAUAAUGAAUUAUUGUGAGUAUUCGUGGAUUAACUUUUUUUUAAACACAUAUAAUGGUUCGAGUCUUUACAUGAUUUUUGAAUUGUAUUAUCAAAUGCCCUUGCAGGCCAUAUGCGUCUCCACAGACUGUAGAACCCCCACUCAUGAAUGAGGGAGGAGCUUGUGGUUGUCAUGCUCUUUAUGUACCUUUUUAAAUGGUGCUGACUGAAUUACUAUAAUAAUAAUAAUAAUAAUUGUUGUGCUAUAUUAUAUCCGAUAUACAUUUAUAAAAUUCUAACUCAAAAUAUAAAUACACAUGCAAAAAAAAUCGUAUCACCUGACAGGUAGAAACACAAUGUUGUCUGAUAUUGAUUCACACAUUGAAAUCUACAAAAAAAAAAAAAAGAUCAGGACUAUUGACCGGUAAAAAAAAAUGCAAAUGAUUUGGCCUUUGCAUUGCAAUCUGACCUGAUGUGUGUAUAAACACGUGCACGUUGCCGGACAGUAUAACAAAAGGACAUAUGUGGCUGUGUAAAAGCUUGAGUGAAUGAGCUGUCUGAUGAGCAGCUCUCGGGUUUCUCUAAUAUCUCUACCACAUUGCGACGCGCCUCCUCCUUUAACCCGAGCAGCCCGGGGGGCGAAAUUAUUUCAAGAUGUCGACUCUCCAUCGGCCACGGCCAGAGCUGAGCCCCCCGCCCCCGCUCCCCACCCAUUUUACCCGUGCAAGUAAUGCAAUCCUCGGGGAUACUACAGGCUAUCACUUGUUAGUGCUUUCUCAAUAUGAUUUGCGGGGAUUUACCGACUGAAGUGUUCCAUGCGCGUGUGAGGGACAACACAAUAACAAACAUUUCAGUGUUCGUUUUCAGCCCGUUCAAAUACACCUGAGCUGCCCUCUUAAAUUAUUCCGAACGUAUAUAUUCAUUAUUAAUUGUCCCGUUGGGACAAAAGUCUUUUUCGCCGAGCGUUGUCAGGGAAACCAAUGAAAUGCUACAUUUCGCCCCAGUCGAGAGGAGGAAAAAUAAGAGAGACUCGAGCUGGAACACACAAGAGUACGCUUCAUAAAAACGUCACCAUCAAACGGCUUCCCCGUAUAGCGGGGGGUUUAUAUUUGUAAAAUAUGGAGGAAAAGUGAAACGGCUCGCAGAUGGUUUUCCUUCCAUCUAAAUCCAAAGUGCUAUUUCAGCUGCAUUGAGUGGAACAGCGUUGAUGCUGUUUAAAUUAGCCAGAUAAAGUCCUGCAGGGAAGUUUAGUUUAGUCUGACUUUUUUUUUCCUGGGCGGAGAGUGAAUUCAAAUCAUGAGAAAACGUAGAUUUGGCCUUCUCGAUGUGCGUUUUUUUUUUGUACACCGCAAUGAUACGAAAAAACAAACCCCACGAAGUUGUCCAUAAAUGUUAAUGAGCAAAUCAAUUACGCCUUUCGUUGAGUGUGUCCCAAAUAAAAAUGCAGACCCUUCUCCUCAAACACAACACAACUGUUGACAUGAGUGAGUUAAAUGAAAUUGGAGCUGCAAUUAUCAGCUUAACAGAGUUUCCUGUCAUGUUGGAAAAUUAGAGCUGCUACAAGUGCACUGGGGCUUCGACCCCCCCGUCCCCCCGUCAUCAAAAUCAUUACGCAUUUCCUCCAGAGGGCCGACUCCCCAAAUGCGUUGCAAUUACAGCCUCGGCGCGUUUACGGCGCUGCGGUCCGUAAACACACCGCCAGCAAACUAUUUUGUUAGGGCUGGGGGAGGUGUGUGUUUGGGACAGGGGGGGUAUUUUUUGGGGUGCAGAAAUAAACAAACAGCUCUAGCUGAAAAGCGCAAACACGACGAGAUAGUUGAGGCGUUCUUGUGUGCAUGCUGGCAGGGAGGGGGCGCCAAGACAAUACUUUCACACAACUCUUAUAGUAACUCCUUCAACGUGCGCGCGCGUGUGUGUGCGCGUGCGUGUGUCGUCCAUCCCCCUCCAUCAGCUGUUAGCAGCACUGAUCGUCUUUCCCACACUAACUCCUUAUUCCUCAAUAUUGUUCCUCCAAACAGCAGCUCCCAGCAACCUGGGGAGAGCUAAACUUUGCCGGCAGCAGCGGGAAAGCAGCUCAGGAGUGGUGGGUCUCUACGAGCCAGGCUGGUACCCGCCGACCCCUGCCCUCUCAUUAGUGGGACGUGGAGCAGCGGAGUACGGUCCUCCCCAGGUCAUGUUACAUAUGGCUUGCAGUCUGCUGCGCCGCAUUAAAUGUCAGCUUUCAAAGCAUCUAAAAGUUCAGAGGUCAGUGUUUUUAAUAAGGCCGGCGUUCUGGAGGAGUUGCCUACAACCCCCCCACCCCCUCCCCCCACAAGUAUGUUUUGAAUUGCAUUUAGUAAAUAUGGGCAAAAUAGAGUAUAUGGGGAUGGUCAGAUUUUCCCUCAUGAAGGAUGCGGAUUGAAUGUUCAAUGUCACGCUUGUGGAAAAUGAACUGCGCGUAUGAUGCAACAAUGGUGGGUGCUCUUUUUCCUUUGCAUUCAUAGGCUUCAUAAACCAAGGUUGAAGUUUUCUUCCUCCUGCUCCUCAUCCUCUGCGUGAGAGUCAGCCCAUGGCUUCCGCGUGCUCACUCCAAACGGGAUCUUGUUCUGGCCUCUAACAAAGCUGUUUUCACCCUCUUCAAUAUUGCAGGAGGGCCGGGGAGGUCACCCGAUACCCAACAAUCAGCUAAUCCACUGCCCAUGGCGACGAGGUCACCUGUGCACAGGGGCCCAUUAGGUGCGAGGGCUGGGGCGGCCGGACCUCGUGUCCCCUAAGAUACUCGGCGGGCUGGAGGUGGUGACCGCUCAGGUUCGUUUGGGCCAUUAGCGGCGUGCUGACGGUGAGCGUGGUGUAGACUUCGGGGCCGGACGAGGCGGCUGUGCUGGCGGAGACCUGGGCUUGGCUGGAUGGCGUCUCUUCGGAGCUGGGGGUCGAGUAGCCCAUCUGUCCGCUCGGGUCCAGGUGGAGCCCGUGGUGAGGACGGCGCCGUGGUGCAAAGAGGUCAUGGACAGCUUGUCUUGCUGCUGGAAGGAGUCUUCGCUGGACGAGCUCACCGCAACGUCGUUCAGAGCUAUCGUACCUGUGGCCGGACAACAGAGAACACAUCAAUGCUGACAUCACCGAUGGUGCACAACAACCCUACCUUGCGCGAUUGAGGAGGAAGAGGACGAGGAGGAGAGCUGCAGGGGAGGAAGGCCCACAUCGCUGUUAAGCAGCGAGCUUCCAUCACCGUCAGACACGCCGCUGGGUACCUGCACCAGGCUGUAG